rnacentral:rRNA from 2 species
GGGUUGUGAGGUUAAGCGACUAAGCGUACACGGUGGAUGCCCUGGCAGUCAGAGGCGAUGAAGGACGUGCUAAUCUGCGAUAAGCGCCGGUAAGGUGAUAUGAACCGUUAUAACCGGCGAUUUCCGAAUGGGGAAACCCAGUGUGAUUCGUCACACUAUCAUUAACUGAAUCCAUAGGUUAAUGAGGCGAACCGGGGGAACUGAAACAUCUAAGUACCCCGAGGAAAAGAAAUCAACCGAGAUUCCCCCAGUAGCGGCGAGCGAACGGGGAGGAGCCCAGAGCCUGAAUCAGCAUGUGUGUUAGUGGAAGCGUCUGGAAAGGCGCGCGAUACAGGGUGACAGCCCCGUACACAAAAGCGCAUGUGCUGUGAGCUCGAUGAGUAGGGCGGGACACGUGGUAUCCUGUCUGAAUAUGGGGGGACCAUCCUCCAAGGCUAAAUACUCCUGACUGACCGAUAGUGAACCAGUACCGUGAGGGAAAGGCGAAAAGAACCCCGGCGAGGGGAGUGAAAAAGAACCUGAAACCGUGUACGUACAAGCAGUGGGAGCACAGGUUUACCUGUGUGACUGCGUACCUUUUGUAUAAUGGGUCAGCGACUUAUAUUCUGUAGCAAGGUUAACCGAAUAGGGGAGCCGGAGGGAAACCGAGUCUUAAUUGGGCGUUAAGUUGCAGGGUAUAGACCCGAAACCCGGUGAUCUAGCCAUGGGCAGGUUGAAGGUUGGGUAACACUAACUGGAGGACCGAACCGACUAAUGUUGAAAAAUUAGCGGAUGACCUGUGGCUGGGGGUGAAAGGCCAAUCAAACCGGGAGAUAGCUGGUUCUCCCCGAAAGCUAUUUAGGUAGCGCCUCGUGAAUUCAUCUCCGGGGGUAGAGCACUGUUUCGGCUAGGGGGCCAUCCCGGCUUACCAACCCGAUGCAAACUGCGAAUACCGGAGAAUGUUAUCACGGGAGACACACGGCGGGUGCUAACGUCCGUCGUGAAGAGGGAAACAACCCAGACCGCCAGCUAAGGUCCCAAAGUCAUGGUUAAGUGGGAAACGAUGUGGGAAGGCCCAGACAGCCAGGAUGUUGGCUUAGAAGCAGCCAUCAUUUAAAGAAAGCGUAAUAGCUCACUGGUCGAGUCGGCCUGCGCGGAAGAUGUAACGGGGCUAAACCAUGCACCGAAGCUGCGGCAGCGACGCUGAUGCGUUGUUGGGUAGGGGAGCGUUCUGUAAGCCUGCGAAGGUGACCUGUGAGGGUUGCUGGAGGUAUCAGAAGUGCGAAUGCUGACAUAAGUAACGAUAAAGCGGGUGAAAAGCCCGCUCGCCGGAAGACCAAGGGUUCCUGUCCAACGUUAAUCGGGGCAGGGUGAGUCGACCCCUAAGGCGAGGCCGAAAGGCGUAGUCGAUGGGAAACGGGUUAAUAUUCCCGUACUUGGUGUUACUGCGAAGGGGGGACGGAGAAGGCUAUGUUGGCCGGGCGACGGUUGUCCCGGUUUAAGCGUGUAGGUGUGUGUUCCAGGUAAAUCCGGUUCACUUUAACACUGAGGCGUGACGACGAGGCACUACGGUGCUGAAGCAACAAAUGCCCUGCUUCCAGGAAAAGCCUCUAAGCAUCAGGUAACACGAAAUCGUACCCCAAACCGACACAGGUGGUCAGGUAGAGAAUACCAAGGCGCUUGAGAGAACUCGGGUGAAGGAACUAGGCAAAAUGGUGCCGUAACUUCGGGAGAAGGCACGCUGACACGUAGGUGAAGUGAUUUACUCAUGGAGCUGAAGUCAGUCGAAGAUACCAGCUGGCUGCAACUGUUUAUUAAAAACACAGCACUGUGCAAACACGAAAGUGGACGUAUACGGUGUGACGCCUGCCCGGUGCCGGAAGGUUAAUUGAUGGGGUCAGCGCAAGCGAAGCUCCUGAUCGAAGCCCCGGUAAACGGCGGCCGUAACUAUAACGGUCCUAAGGUAGCGAAAUUCCUUGUCGGGUAAGUUCCGACCUGCACGAAUGGCGUAAUGAUGGCCAGGCUGUCUCCACCCGAGACUCAGUGAAAUUGAACUCGCUGUGAAGAUGCAGUGUACCCGCGGCAAGACGGAAAGACCCCGUGAACCUUUACUAUAGCUUGACACUGAACAUUGAGCCUUGAUGUGUAGGAUAGGUGGGAGGCUUUGAAGUGUGGACGCCAGUCUGCAUGGAGCCGACCUUGAAAUACCACCCUUUAAUGUUUGAUGUUCUAACGUGGACCCGUAAUCCGGGUUGCGGACAGUGUCUGGUGGGUAGUUUGACUGGGGCGGUCUCCUCCUAAAGAGUAACGGAGGAGCACGAAGGUUGGCUAAUCCUGGUCGGACAUCAGGAGGUUAGUGCAAUGGCAUAAGCCAGCUUGACUGCGAGCGUGACGGCGCGAGCAGGUGCGAAAGCAGGUCAUAGUGAUCCGGUGGUUCUGAAUGGAAGGGCCAUCGCUCAACGGAUAAAAGGUACUCCGGGGAUAACAGGCUGAUACCGCCCAAGAGUUCAUAUCGACGGCGGUGUUUGGCACCUCGAUGUCGGCUCAUCACAUCCUGGGGCUGAAGUAGGUCCCAAGGGUAUGGCUGUUCGCCAUUUAAAGUGGUACGCGAGCUGGGUUUAGAACGUCGUGAGACAGUUCGGUCCCUAUCUGCCGUGGGCGCUGGAGAACUGAGGGGGGCUGCUCCUAGUACGAGAGGACCGGAGUGGACGCAUCACUGGUGUUCGGGUUGUCAUGCCAAUGGCACUGCCCGGUAGCUAAAUGCGGAAGAGAUAAGUGCUGAAAGCAUCUAAGCACGAAACUUGCCCCGAGAUGAGUUCUCCCUGAGACUUAGAGUCUCCUGAAGGAACGUUGAAGACGACGACGUUGAUAGGCCGGGUGUGUAAGCGCAGCGAUGCGUUGAGCUAACCGGUACUAAUGAACCGUGAGGCUUAACCUUACAACGCCGAAG